ensembl:lncRNA
AAACAUCUGCACUUGACUGCCAUUUUGCAGCAAAUGCCAAGGCUAGAGCGUGUUGCCAUCAGCCCCAGGGAAACUGACGAGUCAGACGGCCCAGGCUCUGCCACAGAUAAACCACAGGGAAAAGGAACGAAUGGCAGGGGAAGCAGACAUUGAAAGACUGAACAGAUAUCAGUUUUGUUUUGGCCUCGCUGGCUUGUGGCAUUGUAGUUUCCCCCAGCAGGGAUCGAACCAGGGCCCUCAGCUGUGAAAGUACAGACUCCUAACCACCAGGGAAUUCCUCAUCAAAAAAUUUUUUUAAUGGGCAAGACAAAAUAUAGUCUAGGGAUACAUGCGGAAGUGAUAAAACUAUAAAGAAACACAAACGUUGACUCUAGAAGUCAGGGUCCUUCUGGAAGGAGGGAGGGGCUGUCCCUGAGUGGGACAGGGCUCCUGUGGGGGCUUCUGGGGUAACUGCCCGAGUUCUGCUCUUCCCCUGGAGAUGGUCACAGGGACGUCCAGCUGCCUUAUCAGAAUCACGCAGAUCAAGGAAGGGAGGCUUGGCGGAGUGGAGUGGCUUUCCCAGGGGGUCGGGAUGACUUCGCGGGACGCGCUCUGGUGGGUAUCGCGAGGCCAGGGGCUAAGUCACGGUGCCCAGCCCUAAGUGCGUGGGCUUCCUCUGGACCAAGGUCUCCUGAGUAAGAUAGGGAGGACCCCUGGGUGUCCGAGUCGCCUCCCCCGCCUCCCUUUCCUUCAUUUCCCCAUAGUCUGCUCCAUUCGGCCAUCUACU